GGGUUGUGAGGUUAAGCGACUAAGCGUACACGGUGGAUGCCCUGGCAGUCAGAGGCGAUGAAGGACGUGCUAAUCUGCGAUAAGCGCCGGUAAGGUGAUAUGAACCGUUAUAACCGGCGAUACCCGAAUGGGGAAACCCAGUGUGACUCGUCACACUAUCAUUAACUGAAUCCAUAGGUUAAUGA
rnacentral:rRNA from 1 species